AUGUGGUCUUGCUGCGCAAUGGUCCUGCACCCAUGGUCUGAACCACACACCACCAACAAGAACAUGAUUCCAGGACCUAGGAUUCUACCACUGGGGAGCCUGAAGACGGAAGUCCUGUGUGACACCAAAGUUCUGCUAGGGACAGUGGAGAGUGUGUCUGUGAAGAGGAAUGAGCGGUCCAUCGUGAUCGUGAACGCCAUGUUCAUGCAGGCCUUGUGUGGCCCUGUCAACGCCCUGCCUGCCCCUCACUACCUCACAUUACCCGACCACUGCAGCUGCCCUGAACUGGUGCCGGGCAACAAUUACAUCUGGGUGAAAACAAGACAUUUCUCUGACACCAUAAACUUCAUCUCUGAUCUCUGUGACUAUUCCUCCCCUCUCCAUUAAAUCCUCUCCAGGUGCUCAAAAUUAUACUUUUCACCAUGUUUUGAGGCUAUACAUGUUUUGAGGCUAUACAAACUAUGGCUUAAAAAACAGCUUAUAUUUUUGUGUUCUGAUGGGGUAGGACAGUUUAAACUAAGUUCAUGAGGCAUACGCUAUAUUCUUCAAGAGUCGAUUUGUAUAUCAUUCAAAUUCAAAUUCCGAAAAAUGUAUGUAGCUGUCACGCCCUGGCCUUAGUAUUCUGUGUUUUCGUUAGUAUUUUGGUGAGGCCAGGGUGUGACAUGGGGAUUUAUGUGGUUUGUUUUGUCUGGGGUUGUUGGUAGGUAUGGGAUUGUGGUUAGAGUAGUACUAGAGUUAACUAGAGUUAGAGUAGUUAAGUCUAUGGUUGCCUAGAGUGGUUCUCAAUCAGAGGCAGGUGUUUAUCGUUGUCUCUGAUUGGGAACCAUAUUUAGGCAGCCAUAUUCUUUAGGUCUCUUGUGGGUGAUUGUUCCUGUCUCUGUGUUUGCACCAGAUAGGGCUGUUUUGGGUUUUCUUGUUUUGUUAGUUUGUUUGUUUUGUUAGUUUGUUCAUGUGUAGAGUCUUUAUUAAAGAACCAUGAAUAGAAACCACGCUGCAUUUUGGUCCGCCUCUCCUUCAAGUCAAGAAAACCGUUACAGUAGCCAUCACAGAUUAAUUUAAACUAUCAUAUCUUUAAUACAUUUUUAUUUGCUCACAUUUGUAUUAUGUUUGUUUGGGUAGUGUUUUCUGUUAUAUUAAAAUAAAAGUUCCUUUAAUGUUAAUUCAAUUUUGUUGUCUUAAUAAUGAUUAUUCCAUACGGGAGCUAUUUCUUCACUGAAAGUUAUCUCUGUGAUCAAUGUGACACUAACAUCGUAGGUGUAAACCUGCCUGUGAAGUGAUUUCACCACGUUGUGAAAUGGCAGGAAAUGAAGCCAUUUUUUAAAAGAAAACAUUUGUAUGUAGGUGUGUGACUUCCUCAUGCGUCAAUAAAUGUGACUUUGAUG
rnacentral:lncRNA from 1 species